GCUAGAGGAGGCUGCGCUCCCUCCCGGGUGGUAGCAGCCUCCUAGGGAUGACCCGCCCCUUGGCCAGGAGCACAGUUGGAGCCGCAAAUGGAACCUUGAAACCAGGCUGCUGAGGGAUGACUUCCAGCUCCUUCUUCGUGGCUGAUUCCUCACCCAAGGAAGCCUCCCCAGGCUAGAAGGAGACUGUUCCCACAUCACAGCAGGCUCUGACCGGUACCAUGCCAUCCCGCCUGCUGGGUGUCUCUUGUUUAGACGGGAACUCCCGGAGCAGCUUUCUUUGCUAGUCUGUCCCCAGCACCUCACAUAGUGCCUAAUUUGUUGGCUACAUCAUCACCAACAGCAGCUGAAUUAUUGAAGUAGCCAAGGACCAGGCAGGGUACUAGGCACUCCAUGCAUAAUCUCCACAGUGCUAGGCACUCUGUACUUAGUCCUCCUCACAGCAGACGGGUAUUUGUAUUAUCUUUGUUUAUUGGUAAGGAAAUUGGGGCACAGAAAGGUCGAGUCUCUUGCCCGACGCCACCCAGCUGGUGGAUGGCAGAGCUGGAGUCCAACCAAGGCUGGACCCCAGUCCUUGGUCUCCAGAUGACAUAGCAGUCCCUGGGGGGUGUGGGGUGUGGUGUGUGUGUGUGUGUGUGUGUGUGUGUGACGCAUAUUCAGUGCUUCCACUGAGAAUGUGGUGGCUAGAAGAACAGCUCGCCCGUGGUGACAGAUGAGGAUGCUAAGGCCAUCGGCAGGAAGUUGUGCCGAGGCUGCCAGCGUGCGGCGGACAGCUGAGACAGAGCUGAAGUUUGUCGGGGUCUGAAGCCAUGCUGCCUAAAACUACAGAGAGAGGAGGAGAGAGGAGAGGAAGGAAAGGGGAAGAGAACAGGGAAAGCUACAGCGGGACACUCAAAAGCAGGAGAAGUUCAUGUGGCUCUGGGUUCUGGAGGCGGGAAGAGGACCGGAAGCUGAUGUCUGGUGGGCUUCCUGCUGCCCGUGGUGGGAACAGGAGGUGAGGCCACAGGAGCCGAGAGGGGGCUGAGCUCGGCCUGUCAGCAGUGACAUCGGCUGCGUUAGUCUGCAGGAACACUCCAGGCAGAAUUAUCCCCUAAAGGCCCCACCCUUCCUCACUCUAACGGUGGGACCCAGCGCCUCCACAACUCCACAGCGGGGACACGUGCAAACCUCGGCACAGCCUGACACCUCAGAACACCACCUGCCAUUCCCAACUGCCAGGCGAGUGACAUGCGAGUAUCGAAGGCAGCAGUUCUAACCUUCCCGUUUCACAGAUAACUUCCUGAACCAGAGUGGUCAAGUUAUUUCCCCAAGGUCACACAGUACAGGACCAGCCGGUCUGACGGCACACCUCUCUCCUCCCCUCUGCUAGGUCUCAGUCCAAACCCUUCCUUUACAGAGAGUAACUGGACCCAGAGACGGCAAAGGACUGGCCAUUCUCAUUCAAACAGCACACCCCACUCCCUGGUCCCACAGGCUUGUAGCCAUACCUUUAUGCAAAGCACAUUCAUUCCAACCUCAAAAGUCCCCAUAGUCUUUCAGUCUUUUUGUUGUUGUUGUUUUGUUUGUUUUUGUUUUGUUUUGUUUU